CCUGGCUAUGAUGACAAAACUUGCCCUCUCUGAGAGAAAAACCUCUGUUAUGAGAAUUUAAAUUUUUAUCUGAGCCAGC